UGCAAGUCGAGCGAAUGGAUUGAGAGCUUGCUCUCAAGAAGUUAGCGGCGGACGGGUGAGUAACACGUGGGUAACCUGCCCAUAAGACUGGGAUAACUCCGGGAAACCGGGGCUAAUACCGGAUAACAUUUUGAACUGCAUGGUUCGAAAUUGAAAGGCGGCUUCGGCUGUCACUUAUGGAUGGACCCGCGUCGCAUUAGCUAGUUGGUGAGGUAACGGCUCACCAAGGCAACGAUGCGUAGCCGACCUGAGAGGGUGAUCGGCCACACUGGGACUGAGACACGGCCCAGACUCCUACGGGAGGCAGCAGUAGGGAAUCUUCCGCAAUGGACGAAAGUCUGACGGAGCAACGCCGCGUGAGUGAUGAAGGCUUUCGGGUCGUAAAACUCUGUUGUUAGGGAAGAACAAGUGCUAGUUGAAUAAGCUGGCACCUUGACGGUACCUAACCAGAAAGCCACGGCUAACUACGUGCCAGCAGCCGCGGUAAUACGUAGGUGGCAAGCGUUAUCCGGAAUUAUUGGGCGUAAAGCGCGCGCAGGUGGUUUCUUAAGUCUGAUGUGAAAGCCCACGGCUCAACCGUGGAGGGUCAUUGGAAACUGGGAGACUUGAGUGCAGAAGAGGAAAGUGGAAUUCCAUGUGUAGCGGUGAAAUGCGUAGAGAUAUGGAGGAACACCAGUGGCGAAAGCGACUUUCUGGUCUGUAACUGACACUGAGGCGCGAAAGCGUGGGG
rnacentral:rRNA from 1 species